UUCAUAUUAUGCCUUUUUUAUGCACUUAUACUUCAUUACAUUGUUUCUACAUAUUUAUUUUUUUAGUAAUUAUUUAGUUAUUUGCUUAAAAUAAGCAUUUUAUAUUUUACACAAUUUUCAUUCCAUGCACAAUAACAAAAGUAUUCCGUGUUUACAGAUAUUAAGUGUUGCCAUAAUUACACAUAUAUCAAACGAAUAAGAAUGGAUAUAAAAACUCAAACGCAGAAAACAAAUACUAUCUGAAAUAAAUUUUCCAUUGUAAUAAGAAAAUUUUUAAGGCUUUAUUGGCGGCCUUCGGCCGCGCUUCAAAAAAAAUAACCCUGGCCAAUCCAACACCGGGGUGUAUCAAGUUUUUUUUUAAUUAAAACUCCUUUUCGCGUUGGCGGCCUUCGGCCGCGCUUCAAAAAAAUAACCCUGGCCGAUCCAACACCGGGGUGUAUCAAGUUUUUUUUAAGUAAAACUCCUUUUCACGUUGGCGGCCUUCGGCCGCGCUCAAAAAAAUAACCCUGGCCGAUCCAACACCGGGGUGUAUCAAGUUUCUUUUAAGUAAAACUCCUUUUCGCGUUGGCGGCCUUCGGCCGCGCUUCAAAAAAAUAACCCCGGCCGAUCCAACACCGGGGUGUAUCAGGUUUCUUUUAAGUAAAACUCCUUUUCGCGUUGGCGGCCUUCGGCCGCGCUUCAAAAAAAUAACCCUGGCCGAUCCAACACCGGGGUGUAUCAGGUUUCUUUUAAGUAAAACUCCUUUUCGCGUUGGCGGCCUUCGGCCGCGCUUCAAAAAAAUAACCCUGGCCGAUCCAACACCGGGGUGUAUCAAAAAUCUUGAUAUAUCAAGAAAAAGGGCAAUGAUUUAUGUAUUUGGGGUAUAGUCCUAUUUUUUAUUCAUUUUUAUUCGUUUGAUAAAUGUGUAAUUAUGGCAACACUUAUUAUCUGUCAACACGGAAUACUUUUGUUAUUGUGCAUGGAAUGAAAAUUGUGUAAAAUAUAAAAUGCUUAUUUUAAGCAAAUAACUAAAUAAUUACUAAAAAAUAAAUAUGUAGAAACAAUGUAAUGAAGUAUAAGUGCAUAAAAAAGGCAUAAUAUGAAUUAAAUAACUACUAGCAAUCGAGAAAUUGCAAGAUAAAAUUUGCAAAAUUUUCAACUUUAAAUGGAAAUAUCUCGGAAACUAUAAGUUUGCGGCGGCAACAAUUAUAUAUUUUCUUAAUCUGGAGCAUCAGCUCUAUCCAACCAUACCACUUUUAACCCUGAAAUCGUGGGAUCGUAUACUAAAGCCGACCC